UUCUCCAUGUAUGUAUGUAUGUAUGUAUGUACAUGUACAUACAUACAUACAUACAUGUAUGUACAAUU